rnacentral:rRNA from 1 species
UACGUAGGGUGCAAGCGUUGUUCGGAAUUAUUGGGCGUAAAGCGUCCGCAGGUGGCACCUCAAGUCUGCUGUCAAAGACCGGGGCUUAACCCCAGAAAGGCAGUGGAAACUGAAGUGCUAGAGUGCAGUAGGGGUAGAGGGAAUUCCCGGUGUAGCGGUGAAAUGCGUAGAGAUCGGGAAGAACAUCGGUGGCGAAAGCGCUCUGCUGGACUGCAACUGACACUCAGGGACGAAAGCUAGGGGAGCGAAUGGG